rnacentral:rRNA from 1 species
UACGGGGGGGGCAAGCGUUGUUCGGAAUUACUGGGCGUAAAGGGCGCGUAGGCGGCCUUGCAAGUCGGUUGGUGAAAGCCCGGGGCUCAACCCCGGAGGUGCGGCCGAGACUGCAGGGCUGGAGGCCGGAAGAGGAGGGUGGAAUACCCAGUGUAGAGGUGAAAUUCGUAGAUAUUGGGAAGAACACCGGUGGCGAAGGCGGCGACCUGGUCCGUGACUGACGCUGAGGCGCGAAAGCGUGGGGAGCAAACAGG